rnacentral:rRNA from 1 species
UGGCGGACGGGUGAGUAACGCGUGGGGAACCUGCCCUGUACAGGGGGAUAACACUUAGAAAUAGGGGCUAAUACCGCAUAAGCGCACAGUAUCGCAUGAUACAGUGUGAAAAACUCCGGUGGUACAGGAUGGACCCGCGUCUGAUUAGCUGGUUGGCGGGGUAACGGCCCACCAAGGCGACGAUCAGUAGCCGGCCUGAGAGGGUGAACGGCCACAUUGGGACUGAGACACGGCCCAAACUCCUACGGAAGGCAGCAG